rnacentral:rRNA from 1 species
UACGGGGGGGGGCAAGCGUUGUUCGGAAUUACUGGGCGUAAAGGGCUCGUAGGCGGCCAACUAAGUCAGACGUGAAAUCCCCAGGCUUAACCUGGGAACUGCGUCUGAUACUGGAUGGCUUGAAUCCGGGAGAGGGAUGCAGAAUUCCAGGUGUAGCGGUGAAAUGCGUAGAUAUCUGGAGGAAUACCGGUGGCGAAGGCGGCAUCCUGGACCGGCAUUGACGCUGAGGAGCGAAAGCUAGGGGGAGCAAACGGG